rnacentral:rRNA from 1 species
UCGGCGGACGGGUGAGUAACGCGUGGGCAACCUGCCUUACACAGGGGGAUAACACUUAGAAAUAGGUGCUAAAACCGCAUAAGCGCACAGCUUCGCAUGAAGCGGUGUGAAAAACUCCGGUGGUGUAAGAUGGACCCGCGUCUGAUUAGCUUGUUGGCGGGGUAACGGCCCACCAAGGCGACGAUCAGUAGCCGGCCUGAGAGGGCGGACGGCCACAUUGGGACUGAGACACGGCCCAGACUCCUACGGGAGGCAGCAG